AUCCUUGAGUUCGUGAGCACGGAUUGGGUGUUCAUGCCGCGUGCAGGAGGUGUGCCUUUCCCAACCUUGUGAUGACAUCAGCACAUUACUCAGUCUGGAG
rfam:Cavia porcellus supercont2_27 genomic scaffold, whole genome shotgun sequence.